ACAGCUCAAAUUUGAAAUCUGGUCCCCAGGGCCCGAGUUGUAAUUUGUAGAGGAUGCUUUUGGCGAGGCGCCUUCCGAGUUCCCUGGAACGGGACGCCACAGAGGGUGAGAGCCCCGUCUGGUCGGAUGCCAAGCCUAUGUAAAGCUCCUUCGACGAGUCGAGUAGUUUGGGAAUGCUGCUCAAAAUGGGAGGUAUAUGUCUUCUAAAGCUAAAUAUUGGCCAGAGACCGAUAGCGCACAAGUAGAGUGAUCGAAAGAUGAAAAGCACUUUGAAAAGAGGGUUAAAAAGUACGUGAAAUUGUUGAAAGGGAAGCGCCUAUGACCAGACUUGGGCCCGGUGAAUCAUCCAGCGUUCUCGCUGGUGCACUUUGCCGGGCACAGGCCAGCAUCAGUUUGGCGCGGGGGAUAAAGGCUUCGGGAAUGUGGCUCCCUCGGGAGUGUUAUAGCCCGUUGUGUAAUACCCUGCGCCGGACUGAGGUACGCGCUCCGCAAGGAUGCUGGCGUAAUGGUCAUCAGCGACC
rnacentral:rRNA from 1 species